GUUCCAUGGAAGCACUAGGUUGUUCAGGUUUAACGCUGGACUUCUCAGACGGGAGGGAGGAACUGGGUUCCAUAGGAGCACUAGGUUGUUCAGGUUUAGAACUGGGCUUCUCAGAGGGGAAG